rnacentral:rRNA from 1 species
UCCUACGGGAGGCAGCAGUAGGGAAUAUUGGACAAUGGGGGCAACCCUGAUCCAGCCAUGCCGCGUGUGUGAAGAAGGCCUUUUGGUUGUAAAGCACUUUAAGUGGGGAGGAGGCUUACCUGGUUAAUACCUGGGCUAAGUGGACGUUACCCACAGAAUGAGCACCUGCUAACUCUGUGCCAGCAGCCGCGGUAAU